AUAAUUUUCUACUUGAUACAUGCAAAGGAGAAAACAUAUGGAUCAAAUCACACAUUUGCUUUAUGCAUUCAUCAUCUUUCUAUAUGUAAAUUUUGCUUCAACCGAAAGUGAGAAGAUUAUCAAGAUUUAGUGCCAUGCUUAUCACGCGCUGAUUGCCCGCAAGAUAUGUGUGUAUCUCCUAAACUUGUGUGGUGUCAUCUUUAUUCUUGUGAAUGCAUUUAAAUGUAACAAAUAAGCUGAAAAAUAAUCAUAUAUUACUUGUAUCCAUACAAUUAUAUUUGAACAUCAAAAUAUUUAUAUUGUUAAGUAUUUCUUGUAAUGGAAAAAUAUGUAAUAUAAAUAUAUAAAAAACCUGGAAAUUA